GACGUAGGGGGCAAGCGUUGCUCGGAAUCACUGGGCGUAAAGCGCACGUAGGCGGACUCUUAAGUCGGUGGUGAAAUCCUGGAGCUCAACUCCAGAACUGCCUUCGAUACUGAGAGUCUCGAGUCCGGGAGAGGUGAGUGGAACUGCGAGUGUAGAGGUGAAAUUCGUAGAUAUUCGCAAGAACACCAGUGGCGAAGGCGGUUCACUGGCCCGGUACUGACGCUGAGGUGCGAAAGCGUGGGGAGCAAACAGG
rnacentral:rRNA from 1 species